CCCGCGGCAAGACGGAAAGACCCCGUGAACCUUUACUAUAGCUUGACACUGAACAUUGAGCCUUGAUGUGUAGGAUAGGUGGGAGGCUUUGAAGUGUGGACGCCAGUCUGCAUGGAGCCGACCUUGAAAUACCACCCUUUAAUGUUUGAUGUUCUAACGUUGACCCGUAAUCCGGGUUGCGGACAGUGUCUGGUGGGUAGUUUGACUGGGGCGGUCUCCUCCUAAAGAGUAACGGAGGAGCACGAAGGUUGGCUAAUCCUGGUCGGACAUCAGGAGGUUAGUGCAAUGGCAUAAGCCAGCUUGACUGCGAGCGUGACGGCGCGAGCAGGUGCGAAAGCAGGUCAUAGUGAUCCGGUGGUUCUGAAUGGAAGGGCCAUCGCUCAACGGAUAAAAGGUACUCCGGGGAUAACAGGCUGAUACCGCCCAAGAGUUCAUAUCGACGGCGGUGUUUGGCACCUCGAUGUCGGCUCAUCACAUCCUGGGGCUGAAGUAGGUCCCAAGGGUAUGGCUGUUCGCCAUUUAAAGUGGUACGCGAGCUGGGUUUAGAACGUCGUGAGACAGUUCGGUCCCUAUCUGCCGUGGGCGCUGGAGAAUUGAGGGGGGCUGCUCCUAGUACGAGAGGACCGGAGUGGACGCAUCACUGGUGUUCGGGUUGUCAUGCCAAUGGCACUGCCCGGUAGCUAAAUGCGGAAGAGAUAAGUGCUGAAAGCAUCUAAGCACGAAACUUGCCCCGAGAUGAGUUCUCCCUGACUCCUUGAGAGUCCUGAAGGAACGUUGAAGACGACGACGUUGAUAGGCCGGGUGUGUAAGCGCAGCGAUGCGUUGAGCUAACCGGUACUAAUGAACCGUGAGGCUUAACCUUACAACGCCGAAG
rnacentral:rRNA from 1 species